rnacentral:rRNA from 1 species
UGGGGAAUAUUGCACAAUGGGGGAACCCUGAUGCAGCGACGCCGCGUGGAGGAAGAAGGUCUUCGGAUUGUAAACUCCUGUUGUUGGGGACGAUAAUGACGGUACCCACAAGAAGUGACGGCUAACUACGUGCCAGCAGCCGCGGUAAAACGUAGGUCACAAGCGUUGUCCGGAAUUACUGGGUGUAAAGGGAGCGCAGGCGGGAAGCAAGUUGGAGUGAAAUCUAG